UACGGGGGGGGCGAGCGUUGUCCGAAGUUACUGGGCGUAAAGCGCACGUAGGCGGUUCGUUAUGUCGGAUGUGAAAGCCCUUGGCUUAACCGAGGAAGUGCAUCCGAAACUGGCGAGCUAGAGUACGAAAGAGGAUCGCGGAAUUCCCGGUGUAGAGGUGAAAUUCGUAGAUAUCGGGAGGAACACCGGUGGCGAAGGCGGCGAUCUGGGUCGAUACUGACGCUGAGGUGCGAAAGCGUGGGGAGCAAACAGGG
rnacentral:rRNA from 1 species